UAGAUGCGAGAGUAGAGCAUAUCAAUAAGCGGAGGAAAAGAAACUAACAAGGACUCCCUUAGUAACGGCGAGUGAAGCGGGAAGAGCUCAAAUUUGAAAUCUUCAAGGGUUCUACCUUUACGAAUUGUAGUUUAUAAGAAGUGUUUUCUGUUGUGAGUUCGGCUAAAAGUUCUUUGGAAUAGGACAUCAUAGAGGGUGAGAAUCCCGUAUUUGGUACAUUCCUCCUAGCUGUUGUGAUACACUUUCAACGAGUCGGAUUGUUUGGGAAUGCAGUCCAAGAUGGGUGGUAAAUUUCAUCUAAAGCUAAAUAUUGGCGAGAGACCGAUAGCGAACAAGUACCGUGAGGGAAAGAUGAAAAGAACUUUGAAAAGAGAGUUAAACAGUACGUGAAAUUGUCAAAAGGGAAGCGUUUGACACCAGUGUUGUUUUUCCGAAAAUCAAUUACGAAUGUUUUAUUUUUGAGGAGUUAUGACUUCAUCGGCUUGCUCCUUUCUUUAUGAAACUUUCUUAAUGCACUUUUCGGUUAACAAGUCAACAUCAAUUUCUUUUGUUGUAAAAGGGUAUGAGGAAGGUGGCUUUACUUUCGGAGAAAGUGUUUAUAGCCUUGUGCCUCUGCAAUCGGAGAGAUUGAGGUCUGCAGCGUAGAUCCUUCGGGGUUAGAUACGUUUGUGCUAAGUUAUAGCUUUUCAUAGACAACUUGUUGACUAUGUUUAGUCUUGUAGCUUACUCGCUUACGCUAUUUUACCUACGCUUAGGAUGUUGACGAGACUGUCGAUCU
rnacentral:rRNA from 1 species